rnacentral:lncRNA from 1 species
UCCUUGAGCUGUGGUGGGCUCCACCCAGUUGGAGCUUCCCGGCUGCUUUGUUUACCUAAGCAAGCCUGGGCAAUGGUGGGCGCCCCUCCCCCAGCCUCGCAGCCGCCUUGCAGUUUGAUCUCAGACUGCUGUGCUAGCCAUCAGCGAGACUCCGUGGGCGUAGGACCCUCCGAGCCAGUCUUUUUCUGGAGGAAGAGCAAUCAAGUUUGUGGCCACAGAGAUGCUGGUGGGAUGGACAUGGUUCUGGAUCUGAGCUCUAAUCACAAUUGCAGCAGCUGCACCCAGAGGACCAGUGCUGGAUCCCCACUCUGGGGAAGGCAAUGGCUGUGCACCCUGGAGCUCAUGUUCACUGGGGAUCUGCAGGUGGAGCUGGAGGUUUUAAGAAAAGAAGUGAAAUAGGAAGAAGGACUAACACAGAUGACUUUUCCAACUCCAAGACCUGCAUUGCUCUCUUCCCAACUUUUGUUCAUUCAGCUGCACCAGUAAGCAUUCCACUUUGAUGAAUGGAUUGAACAUCAAAUACCACAGCUAAGCCAUGUCAUGUGUCUGGAAGACAGAAUAUGGAUUUCAUGUAUUUCUACUUUCUUCUUAAACAAGCAGCUUAUUCCCUUCCUUUUACCAAAGGUAGAAAAAAAAUAAACUAGAUUUUUUUAAGCAUAAAAUUAGGUGGUUGUUCUUUUGUUCAAUCCAAUGGAAUAAUAUAUUUAAACUAUUAUACUGCUGAUUUAAAGGUAUAUCAUAAUUAUACCCCUAGAACAUACAAGACAUUGGCCACUGUCCCAAAGAGAUAUCAAGAAUAACCCAUAUGCCCAAGUUAUCCAAAUUCUAUGCUUCUUUAUUCUCCAGAUUCCCUGGAUAGAUCAACUGGGUUAGGGAGACUCAUGGGGCCAUUUCUACAGGAGAAAACAGAGACUCCAUUUUCUGGGUGUCAUUUCACUUUCCACCUGCCGCAUGGAGCUGUUGAUGCCACAUCUGCCAGAAUGGUGUUCAGGUUUCUGGCACCUGCCAUGUUUAGGGAUGUUCAGAUUCUUAUCUCUGCUCUCUCCAGUCCAGAGAAGAUAAAAAUAGGGCAAGUGAGCCUGCACCAACAUAGUCUAAGCCUUGCUUCUCGGGUUCUC